UCUUUCCUAGAUGAAACUGAAGCGUAGAUAGAAAUUCUUCUGAAAUCAAAUUUAAGGCCUACUGCUUUCACAGGCCCCUGAGAAGCCACCCCAGUCAGUCAUUCCACUGAUCAUUUGUAAACAAAAUGAAGUGAUCGUUAUGAUAUCCAGAGGAAGAGAUUUACUGGGGUGGACACCAAAAAGAAUGGGAACAUCCCAGAAAGAGACAAAGAGAGAAGAGAAGUGAAUGCCAGUGUUUGUUUUUUAAGGUGUCUGUUUAGCAUUUUGUGGUUGGAAACACUGAACCAGAGCUGUAUAUUUGAGCAGGGAAAGGAUACUUCAACCCACCAGGAACAAAACUCAAAAACUACCAUGCAGCUUUCGACAAAUAUACACAACUGAAACCAGACAGCUUUCAGCAUAAGAAGAGAUGAGGCCUGGUGGCAGAGGCUGCCGAGGGACAGCUAAAGGACCUUCUUCCAGAGCAAGAGAGAUGACAUGGGUGGUGGCCAUGGCCGAGAGGGUAA
rnacentral:lncRNA from 1 species